rnacentral:rRNA from 1 species
GGGUUGUGAGGUUAAGCGACUAAGCGUACACGGUGGAUGCCCUGGCAGUCAGAGGCGAUGAAGGACGUGCUAAUCUGCGAAAAGCGUCGGUAAGGUGAUAUGAACCGUUACAGCCGGCGAUGUCCGAAUGGGGAAACCCAGUGCAAUUCGUUGCACUAUCGUUAACUGAAUACAUAGGUUAACGAGGCGAACCGGGGGAACUGAAACAUCUAAGUACCCCGAGGAAAAGAAAUCAACCGAGAUUCCCCCAGUAGCGGCGAGCGAACGGGGAGCAGCCCAGAGUCUGAAUCAGCUUGUGUGUUAGUGGAACGGUCUGGAAAGUCCGACGGUACAGGGUGAUAGUCCCGUACACCAAAAUGCACAGGCUGUGAACUCGAAGAGUAGGGCGGGACACGUGGUAUCCUGUCUGAAUAUGGGGGGACCAUCCUCCAAGGCUAAAUACUCCUGACUGACCGAUAGUGAACCAGUACCGUGAGGGAAAGGCGAAAAGAACCCCGGCGAGGGGAGUGAAAAAGAACCUGAAACCGUGUACGUACAAGCAGUGGGAGCACCUUCGGGUGUGACUGCGUACCUUUUGUAUAAUGGGUCAGCGACUUAUAUUCUGUAGCAAGGUUAACCGUAUAGGGGAGCCGCAGGGAAACCGAGUCUUAACUGGGCGUUAAGUUGCAGGGUAUAGACCCGAAACCCGGUGAUCUAGCCAUGGGCAGGUUGAAGGUUGGGUAACACUAACUGGAGGACCGAACCGACUAAUGUUGAAAAAUUAGCGGAUGACUUGUGGCUGGGGGUGAAAGGCCAAUCAAACCGGGAGAUAGCUGGUUCUCCCCGAAAGCUAUUUAGGUAGCGCCUCGUGAAUUCAUCUUCGGGGGUAGAGCACUGUUUCGGCUAGGGGGUCAUCCCGACUUACCAACCCGAUGCAAACUACGAAUACCGAAGAAUGUUAUCACGGGAGACACACGGCGGGUGCUAACGUCCGUCGUGAAGAGGGAAACAACCCAGACCGCCAGCUAAGGUCCCAAAGUCACAGUUAAGUGGGAAACGAUGUGGGAAGGCACAGACAGCCAGGAUGUUGGCUUAGAAGCAGCCAUCAUUUAAAGAAAGCGUAAUAGCUCACUGGUCGAGUCGGCCUGCGCGGAAGAUGUAACGGGGCUAAACUGUGCACCGAAGCUGCGGCAGCGACACUUAGGUGUUGUUGGGUAGGGGAGCGUUCUGUAAGCCUGCGAAGGUGGCCUGUGAGGGUUGCUGGAGGUAUCAGAAGUGCGAAUGCUGACAUAAGUAACGAUAAUGCGGGUGAAAAGCCCGCACGCCGGAAGACCAAGGGUUCCUGUCCAACGUUAAUCGGGGCAGGGUGAGUCGACCCCUAAGGCGAGGCCGAAAGGCGUAGUCGAUGGGAAACAGGUUAAUAUUCCUGUACUUGGUGUUACUGCGAAGGGGGGACGGAGAAGGCUAUGUUAGCCGGGCGACGGUUGUCCCGGUUUAAGCAUGUAGGCGGAGGUUCCAGGUAAAUCCGGUACCUUUUAACGCUGAGGUGUGAUGACGAGGCACUACGGUGCUGAAGUAACAAAUGCCCUGCUUCCAGGAAAAGCCUCUAAGCAUCAGGUAACAUUGAAUCGUACCCCAAACCGACACAGGUGGUCAGGUAGAGAAUACCAAGGCGCUUGAGAGAACUCGGGUGAAGGAACUAGGCAAAAUGGUGCCGUAACUUCGGGAGAAGGCACGCUGAUAUGUAGGUGAAGCCCCUGCGGGUGGAGCUGAAAUCAGUCGAAGAUACCAGCUGGCUGCAACUGUUUAUUAAAAACACAGCACUGUGCAAACACGAAAGUGGACGUAUACGGUGUGACGCCUGCCCGGUGCCGGAAGGUUAAUUGAUGGGGUUAUCCGUAAGGAGAAGCUCUUGAUCGAAGCCCCGGUAAACGGCGGCCGUAACUAUAACGGUCCUAAGGUAGCGAAAUUCCUUGUCGGGUAAGUUCCGACCUGCACGAAUGGCGUAAUGAUGGCCAGGCUGUCUCCACCCGAGACUCAGUGAAAUUGAACUCGCUGUGAAGAUGCAGUGUACCCGCGGCAAGACGGAAAGACCCCGUGAACCUUUACUAUAGCUUGACACUGAACAUUGAGCCUUGAUGUGUAGGAUAGGUGGGAGGCUUUGAAGCGUGGACGCCAGUCUGCGUGGAGCCAACCUUGAAAUACCACCCUUUAAUGUUUGAUGUUCUAACGUUGGCCCCUUAUCGGGGUUGCGGACAGUGUCUGGUGGGUAGUUUGACUGGGGCGGUCUCCUCCCAAAGAGUAACGGAGGAGCACGAAGGUUAGCUAAUCCUGGUCGGACAUCAGGAGGUUAGUGCAAUGGCAUAAGCUAGCUUGACUGCGAGCGUGACGGCGCGAGCAGGUGCGAAAGCAGGUCAUAGUGAUCCGGUGGUUCUGAAUGGAAGGGCCAUCGCUCAACGGAUAAAAGGUACUCCGGGGAUAACAGGCUGAUACCGCCCAAGAGUUCAUAUCGACGGCGGUGUUUGGCACCUCGAUGUCGGCUCAUCACAUCCUGGGGCUGAAGUAGGUCCCAAGGGUAUGGCUGUUCGCCAUUUAAAGUGGUACGCGAGCUGGGUUUAGAACGUCGUGAGACAGUUCGGUCCCUAUCUGCCGUGGGCGCUGGAGAAUUGAGGGGGGCUGCUCCUAGUACGAGAGGACCGGAGUGGACGCAUCACUGGUGUUCGGGUUGUCAUGCCAAUGGCAUUGCCCGGUAGCUAAAUGCGGAAGAGAUAAGUGCUGAAAGCAUCUAAGCACGAAACUUGCCCCGAGAUGAGUUCUCCCUGAGACUUUAAGUCUCCUGAAGGAACGUUAAAGACGAUGACGUUGAUAGGUCGGGUGUGUAAGCGUAGCGAUACGUUGAGCUAACCGAUACUAAUGAACCGUGAGGCUUAACCUUACAACGCCGAAGGUGUUU